UACGUAGGGCGCAAGCGUUAUCCGGAAUUAUUGGGCGUAAAGAGCUCGUAGGCGGUCCGGUAAGUCCGCUGUGAAAGUCGGGGGCUCAACCCUCGAAUGCCGGUGGAUACUGUCGGGCUAGAGUGCGGAAGAGGCGAGUGGAAUUCCUGGUGUAGCGGUGAAAUGCGCAGAUAUCAGGAGGAACACCAAUUGCGAAGGCAGCUCGCUGGGACGUUACUGACGCUGAGACGCGAAAGCGUGGGGAGCAAACAGG
rnacentral:rRNA from 1 species